CCCUUAGAUGUUCUGGGCCGCACGCGCGCUACAAUGAUGCAACCAACGAGUGCUGCUCCUUGGCCGAGAGGCCCGGGGAACCUUGCAAACUGCAUCGUGCUGGGGAUAGAUGAUUGCAAUUCUUCAUCUUGAACGAGGAAUGCCUUGUAAGCGUGAGUCAUCAACUCGCGCUGAAUACGUCCCUGCCCUUUGUACACACCGCCCGUCGCACCUACCGAUUGAAUGGUCCGGUGAAGCCUCCGGAUUGGCGCGCACCUCGGUGCCGCCGAGAAGUUGGCUAAACCUUACCAUUUAGAGGAAGGUGAAGUCGUAACA
rnacentral:rRNA from 1 species